AUUGAACGCUGGCGGCAGGCCUAACACAUGCAAGUCGAACGGUAACAGGAAGCAGCUUGCUGCUUUGCUGACGAGUGGCGGACGGGUGAGUAAUGUCUGGGAAACUGCCCGAUGGAGGGGGAUAACUACUGGAAACGGUAGCUAAUACCGCAUAACGUCGCAAGACCAAAGAGGGGGACCUUAGGGCCUCUUGCCAUCGGGUGUGCCCAGCUGGGAUUAGCUGGUCGGUGGGGUAACGGCUCACCUAGGCGACGAUCCCUAGCUGGUCUGAGGGGAUGACGAGCCACACUGGAACGGAGCCACGGUCCAGAGGCCUGCGGGAGGCAGCAGUGGGGAAUAUUGCACAAUGGGCGCAAGCCUGAUGCAGCCAUGCCGCGUGUAUGAAGAAGGCGUUCCGGUUGUAAAGUACUUUCAGCGGGGAGGAAGGGAGUAAAGUUAAUACCUUUGCUCAUUGACGUUACCCGCAGAAGAAGCACCGGCUAACUCCGUG
rnacentral:rRNA from 1 species